AGGUGGCUUCCUCUAGAGAUGAUCUGCUCUUCUUUCUUCCAGGUACAAUCAGGAGGUACCACCAGCACAGGACUACUUGAAUCCAAAUAGUGUGCAGUUUUUCACAUUACCCAGAAAUGGACACCUUGCCGAAACUUUCAGGGAUGGUCAGAGAGCCGAUCUGUGAGUGGGACACCGAUAGAUUGGGCUCUCUAGUGCUCGGCUCAGGACCUAAAAGGGAAGGAAGAGAGAAAUUUGGACACAGACAUACAGACACAGAGAGAAGAUGGCCAUGUG